rnacentral:rRNA from 1 species
UACGUAGGGGGCUAGCGUUGUCCGGAAUCAUUGGGCGUAAAGCGCGUGUAGGCGGCCCGGUAAGUCCGCUGUGAAAGUCCAGGGCUCAACCCUGGGAUGCCGGUGGAUACUGUCGGGCUCGAGUCCGGAAGAGGCGAGUGGAAUUCCUGGUGUAGCGGUGAAAUGCGCAGAUAUCAGGAGGAACACCGGUGGCGAAGGCGGGUCUCUGGGCAGUGAACUGACGCUGGAGGAGCGAAAGCGUGGGGAGCGAACAGG